UGAGUAACACGUAUCCAACCUGCCGUCUACUCUUGGCCAGCCUUCUGAAAGGAAGAUUAGUCCAGGAUGGGAUCAUGAGUUCACAUGUCCGCAUGAUUAAAGGUAUUUUCCGGUAGACGAUGGGGAUGCGUUCCAUUAGAUAGUAGGCGGGGUAACGGCCCACCUAGUCAACGAUGGAUAGGGGUUCUGAGAGGAAGGUCCCCCACAUUGGAACUGAGACACGGUCCAA
rnacentral:rRNA from 1 species